GAGACCCACGCCCACAGUUGCCAGCGUUCCCUCCGGGGAGAUGGGUACACUGUGGGGACCGCCGCUGCUAAAGCGGAGGAAGGAAUGGGCAACGGUAGGUCAGUAUGCCCCGAAUGUCCCGGGCUACACGCGAGCUACAAUGGUUGGCACAAUGGGCAUCGACCCCGAAAGGGGAAGGCAAUCCCCUAAACCUGCCCUUAGUUCGGAUUGUGGGCUGCAACUCGCCCACAUGAAGCUGGAAUCCGUAGUAAUCGCGGAUCAACAUUCCGCGGUGAAUAU
rnacentral:rRNA from 1 species